rnacentral:rRNA from 1 species
UUUAAGUGUUAAUAUAAAAACUAAAUUAGUAACAGUUAUGUUCUUGAAAAUUAAAGAUUUUGGCGGUAUUUUAGUCUAUUCAGAGGAACCUGUCCUGUAAUUGAUAAUCCACGAUUUACAUUACUUAAUUUUAAAAGCUUGUAUAUCGUUGUUUAUAGAAAAUUUUAUAAGAAUAAUAAUUUUUAGUAAAUUAAAUUAAAUUAUAAAUCAAAUCAAGGUGCAGUUUAUAGUUAAGAAGAGAUGGGUUACAAUAAAUUUAUUUAUUAUAAUGGAUUUUUAAUUUAAAUAUUAAAAUGAAGGUGGAUUUGAUAGUAAUAUUAUUGAAUUUAAUAAUAUGAUUAUAGCUCUAAAGUAUGU